rnacentral:pre_miRNA from 1 species
CUAAUACUCCCUCCGUCCCAAAAUUCUUGUCUUAGAUUUGUCGGAUGUAUCUAAUACUAAAACGUGACUUGAUACAUCCGUACUUAGACAAAUCUAAGACAAGAAUUUUGGGACGGAGUGAGUAUUAC